AUGAUUCACAGUAUUGUGACUGAAUCAGGGUCUUUCUGGAGCUGCAGAAACAGGAAAAAACAUCCAGAUAAAAACUGCAGGGGGACAAGCCAGAGGUCAAAGGACAGAAGCCUCCAACAUACCCGACAGUACAUGUCUAUAGUACAUACCCUACAGUACAUGUCUAUAGUACAUACCCUGAAGUACAUGUCUAUAGUACAUACCCUACAGUACAUGUCUAUAGUACAUACCCUACAGUACAUGGCUAUAGUACAUACCCGACAGUACAUGUCUAUAGUACAUACCCUACAGUACAUGUCUAUAGUACAUACCCUACAGUACAUGUCUAUAGUACAUACCCUGAAGUACAUGUCUAUAGUACAUACCCUGAAGUACAUGUCUAUAGUACAUACCCUACAGUACAUGUCUAUAGUACAUAACCUACAGUACAUGUCUAUAGUACAUACCCUACAGUACAUGUCUAUAGUACAUACCCUACAGUACAUGUCUAUAGUACAUACCCUGAAGUACAUGUCUAUAGUACAUACCCUACAGUACAUGUCUAUAGUACAUACCCUACAGUACAUGUCUAUAGUACAUACCCUACAGUACAUGUCUAUAGUACAUACCCUACAGUACAUGUCUAUAGUACAUACCCUACAGUACAUGUCUAUAGUACAUACCCUGAAGUACAUGUCUAUAGUACAUACCCUACAGUACAUGUCUAUAGUACAUACCCUGAAGUACAUGUCUAUAGUACAUACCCUACAGUACAUGUCUAUAGUACAUACCCUACAGUACAUGUCUAUAGUACAUACCCUACAGUACAUGUCUAUAGUACAUACCCUACAGUACAUGUCUAUAGUACAUACCCUACAGUACAUGUCUAUAGUACAUACCCUACAGUACAUGUCUAUAGUACAUACCCUGAAGUACAUGUCUAUAGUACAUACCCUACAGUACAUGUCUAUAGUACAUACCCUACAGUACAUGUCUAUAGUACAUACCCUACAGUACAUGUCUAUAGUACAUAACCUACAGUACAUGUCUAUAGUACAUACCCUACAGUACAUGUCUAUAGUACAUACCCUACAGUACAUGUCUAUAGUACAUACCCUGAAGUACAUGUCUAUAGUACAUACCCUACAGUACAUGUCUAUAGUACAUAACCUACAGUACAUGUCUAUAGUACAUACCCUACAGUACAUGUCUAUAGUACAUACCCUACAGUACAUGUCUAUAGUACAUACCCUGAAGUACAUGUCUAUAGUACAUACCCUACAGUACAUGUCCAUGGCUUGUACGCCUACAGUACAUGUCUAUAGUACAUACCCUGAAGUACAUGUCUAUAGUACAUACCCUACAGUACAUGUCUAUAGUACAUACCCUACAGUACAUGUCUAUAGUACAUACCCUGAAGUACAUGUCUAUUGUACAUACCCUACAGUACAUGUCUAUAGUACAUACCCUACAGUACAUGUCUAUAGUACAUACCCUACAGUACAUGUCUAUAGUACAUACCCUGAAGUACAUGUCUAUAGUACAUACCCUACAGUACAUGUCUAUAGUACAUACCCUGAAGUACAUGUCUAUAGUACAUACCCUGAAGUACAUGUCUAUAGUACAUACCCUACAGUACAUGUCUAUAGUACAUACCCUACAGUACAUGUCUAUAGUACAUACCCUACAGUACAUGUCUAUAGUACAUACCCUGAAGUACAUGUCUAUAGUACAUACCCUGAAGUACAUGUCUAUAGUACAUACCCUACAGUACAUGUCUAUAGUACAUACCCGACAGUACAUGUCUAUAGUACAUACCCUACAGUACAUGUCUAUAGUACAUACCCUACAGUACAUGUCUAUAGUACAUACCCUACAGUACAUGUCCAUGGCUUGUACGCCUACAGUUGGUUGAUAUGUGAAUAA
ensembl:lncRNA